GGCGCACCUUUUGUCAAGCAUGUUGGGACAUCAGGAUUCAUGAAUUUCCUGCAAGGAGGUAUGGGCAACUGCUGUUCUUAAGGAUUUCAGAACCAAAAAGGGAAUACUGCAGUUUGUGGAUAGACGGGGAGACCUGAGUGCAUUCCUGCUUGAAGCACCAACUACGACAUUCUGGAUGUUGUUUGAGGUGAUGUAGUCGAUGAUGGCUUUCGAGACAUCAAAAUCUUCCAAAAUCACCUCCGUCAGCUGCAACUGUUUGUUUCCGGAAGAAGUUCAACAAAAAGUUCCGUUAUUAAUGGUAGCAAUCGAGAAUGACGAUGCUGAACAUGAAGGAUGCCUACUAUUAAGGAGAUCUGGCUGGGUCCUGACAUGGACGAGGAUUAUGGAGUUGGUGUUGAUGAGGAGGUGGUCGACUGCCCAUUUCAUCGCCUGCUGGCUGUUCUUAUCCUUGUCGACCGCCACCACCGGCGGCACCUGCCCGGGCUUACGGCUGAUGUCAUCUGACUGUGACAGUGACAGAGAUCGCGGCGGCAUGCGAUUCAUUCUUGCAAGCACCAGUUUCAGCAAAUGGAGAGAGAGUGAAGAAGGAGAGGAGAGCAGUUGAGAGGGAGAGGGAGGGAGGAGGGAGGAGUUGCUCUCUCUUACUCCUCCUCCACUCUUCUCUUCCCUGCGUCCUUCUCUGUCUGCUUCUUCCCUUUCCCGUUGAGUUAUUCCUCCUUUGUUACAGCUUGGCAGUCCUUUUUUUGUUGUUCCCGGGAAUAGAGGGUGGCAGUUGAGAAUAACCACCUUGAUCUCUUGAGAACAGUUGACCAGGGAUGUUUCCCAGACUUCUGGUCCUUCUCCUCCUCCUUUUCUGUCUCAGUUCUUGCCCUUUUGCCGAUGAUGCCAAUUCUUCUCAUGGUUCUUGUUGAGCCACUUGUGAUGAUAAGCUGAGGUCCAGGAAUUCGAUGGCAUCUUACAAUUCUUCAGCCAUGUUCUGGAUCUCUCAAUUCAUGGUCUGGCAUUGCCUUUUGCUCCAAGACAAAUAUGGAGUUUUGGAGUAUAUACACCUUAUAUCAUCUCUGUUGAUUUGCCAACAAUCUAUUUUAUUUUAUUUUAUUUUACUCA